AAGAUUUUAAGUUAACUAAACUACGAGCCUUCAAAGCUUGAAAUGAAAACCUAUUUUCAAAUCUUG
rnacentral:tRNA from 2 species